AUUGAACGCUGGCGGCAGGCUUGACACAUGCAAGUCGAGCGGGGAAGGUUGCUUCGGUAACUAACCUAGCGGCGGACGGGUGAGUAAUGCUUAGGAAUCUGCCUAUUAGUGGGGGACAACAUUCCGAAAGGGAUGCUAAUACCGCAUACGUCCUACGGGAGAAAGCAGGGGAUCAUUUGACCUUGCGCUAAUAGAUGAGCCUAAGUCGGAUUAGCUAGUUGGUGGGGUAAAGGCCUACCAAGGCGACGAUCUGUAGCGGGUCUGAGAGGAUGAUCCGCCACACUGGGACUGAGACACGGCCCAGACUCCUACGGGAGGCAGCAGUGGGGAAUAUUGGACAAUGGGGGGAACCCUGAUCCAGCCAUGCCGCGUGUGUGAAGAAGGCCUUUUGGUUGUAAAGCACUUUAAGCGAGGAGGAGGCUUACCUGGUUAAUACCUGGGAUAAGUGGACGUUACUCGCAGAAUAAGCACCGGCUAACUCUGUGCCAGCCGCCGCCGUAACAC
rnacentral:rRNA from 1 species